UACAGAGGGUGCAAACGUUGCUCGGAAUCAUUGGGCGUAAAGCGCACGUAGGCGGUUCGGUAUGUCGGAUGUGAAAGCCCUUGGCUUAACCGAGGAAGUGCAUCCGAAACUGGCGAGCUAGAGUACGAAAGAGGAUCGCGGAAUUCCCGGUGUAGAGGUGAAAUUCGUAGAUAUCGGGAGGAACACCGGUGGCGAAGGCAGCGACCUGGUCCUUGACUGACGCUGAGGAGCGAAAGCGUGGGGAGCGAACAGG
rnacentral:rRNA from 1 species